CCUGGCUCAGGAUGAACGCUGGCGGCGUUUCUAUACAUGCGUCGAACGCAUUGAGAAAGGCUUGCACUUUUCAAUUUGAGUGGCGAACGGGUGAUAACACGUGGGCAACCUACCUGAUAGCGGGGGAUAACGAGUGGAAACAUUCGCUAUUACCGCAUAACAAUAGAGAAGGCAUCUUCUUUAUUUAAAAGGCGCUUUCAGCGUACUAUCAGAUGGCCCCGCGGUGCAUUAUUAUUGGUGGGGUGAAGGCCUACCAAGACGAUGAUGCAUACCGACUUGACAGACUGAUCGGGCACAUUGGGACUGAGACACGGCCAAACUCCUACGGAGGCUGCCAUACGGAAUCUUCACAAGGACGAAGUCUGAUGGAGCACCCGCGUGUGUGAUGAAGGCUUUCGGUCCGUAAAGACUGUGUGGAAGAAAGCUAGCUAGGAAAUGAGCUUAGUUGACCGUACCUACCAGAAAGGACGGCUAAAUACGGCCACAGCGCGUAUACGUAUGUCCAAGCGUUUCCGAUUUAUUGGGCGUAAGGAGCGCGACGGUUGAUUAGUCUGAUGUGAAGCCCGGGCUCACCCCCGGAAUGGCAUUGGAAACUGGUCGACUUGACCUCAGAGAAGGAAUGCAAACUCCUUGUAUCCGGGCGGAUGCG
rnacentral:rRNA from 1 species